rnacentral:rRNA from 1 species
GACAGAGGGUGCAAACGUUGUUCGGAAUUACUGGGCGUAAAGCGCGUGUAGGCGGCUAAGUAAGUCGGGCGUGAAAUCCCACGGCUCAACCGUGGAAGUGCACUCGAAACUGCGUAGCUAGAGUCCUGGAGAGGAAGGUGGAAUGCUUGGUGUAGAGGUGAAAUUCGUAGAUAUCAAGCGGAACACCGGUGGCGAAGGCGGCCUUCUGGACAGUGACUGACGCUGAGACGCGAAAGCGGUGGGUAGCAAACGA